rnacentral:lncRNA from 1 species
AAACACUGUUUGAUGACUGAUAAGCCGGCUGAAUAAGCUGAAGCGAACAGGCCGGUUGGUGCCUUCUGCCUUCAUUAAUUUUGUGGUUACACCGGUAUCAAUGUUGAAGGGAGCAUCAUCACUCGUCAGGUUGGCAGCCUUAAUAACUUACGGACUAAGUUUGGUGGAUUCAGUUACAUGUCCAUGUGACGGACAGUUGCUCUGUUUAGCCGGUAGUGCAACUCGUAUGUUUUUUU